GGGAGACGUUGGGUAGGGGCUUUUAGGAAAGUCAGUCUGCUUUUGAUGAGGAGGUUCAGGAAGGCAUUAUUUGUCUCAAUCUAUCCCCUCUCCCCAACAGUGAACAAGAAAGCAGAUAUCCUUGCUGACUGUUGGCAGCCGUUGUGGGACCACAAAGGCACCAGCCUCAGGAGAUGGGAAGACUGAGUUGCCAGGGACGUUGCUGAGCCAUUAGAGCCAUCCUUACCCACAAGCCCACCCCACCUUGGGACUUCCUCUUGGAACAUGUCACCUUCCCAUGUUUUCCAAGUCAUAAAAGUAGUACAUGUCCAUCACAGACAAAUGGGGAGUGCAGAAAAGCACAAAGAAUAAAACAGAGACAGCAGGGUUCAGGCUUCGAGUUGUGGUGCAAUUGGCCCACAUCCACCCCACCCUCUCUUCACGCAGCAGAUGACUGGGACAUAAAGAAGCUGAUGGGGCCACUGCCACCGAAUUUCCACCUGCAGCCCUUCUCGGGGGCCACCACCAUGCUCCUCAACAGCUGUCACUGACAGGACAGAGCUUGAGGAUCUUGAGGAGCUACUGACCCUGCAGAACCGCUCUGAGACCAGGGGGAGCUUUUCCAGGUGAAACGAUUCAUGGCUAGGCUGAUUUAACUAAUGGGUUUUUCAUCAGAGUAAUACAUAUUCAGAUAUGUCCCAUGCUCAGUGAUGGCAUCAAGCAAUGUCAGGAUUAGAUGGGAAAUUAGAGGCAAUUUGCUCCAAGUGUCUACUUGUGUACCCUCCACAGACGUAUCCAUGCAAUGGUCUUCUGUCUUCUAGGAAGCUCCCAAGUUCAUUUUUUAUUCAAAGCGAACCAGGAGAGUUCUGUCUACACUCAUUUCUAUGCAUAGAACUUGACGCUUUAAAAAGACAAUGCUGAAUUCUAGUUUCCCUGCCCCUACACCAGCCCAAUCCUCUGUUCUUAUUCCCAUCUGACGGUGUCACCCAGGGCACUAACCCAGUAGUACCAGGCACCGAAUAGGCAUCCAGUAGGUGUUGAAUGUCGUAUGUAGCGGACAAGGGCCACUUUGGAAAGUCAUGUUUCAUCGCUUCACUCCUCCCUGUGAGUCUGGGUGCUCUGAAGCCCCUCUCUCGAUCCCCCCAUGAGACACACAGAAUUUAGACCCUGUCAUCAAUGUUAAAGGUCAGCUAACAUGGUUUCCAAACCAAGCAUGUGUCACCAUGUAUCACUUGGGCUUGAACCCAGGUUGGCUGAAUUAUCCAUGCAUCUAGGCAACCACCUAUACAUCCAUUCAUGCAGCUCAUGGAAAUGUUUGGAGUGCAAGCACAGUUCCAGGUGUUGUGGCAGAUACAAAGAAUAUGAUAGAGGGCCUGGUCCUGGUGGAUCCAGGAUGUUGUGGGGGAGACUGUUCUAAUGAGCCAUCUCUGUGUUGAGUUAUGUGAUAAGAGCUGUGAUAGAGAUUCUGCAAAGAAUCCGGGCCUGGGCAUUCAGGCCUGGGAUCUGCACAAGUGGGUCCUCGUGCUGCCCUUAUUUAAGGCUCAAAAGGUACCACUCUCCCAGACAUCAAUACCACUUCACUGUCAAAUUUCCCUUCCCACAAUCCUGUCCUGUGGUGGUGUGCUGGAGAGGGAGCAUUACCUCCAGUGUCCCUUAACCAUACCUAAGAAUAUAACUACACAGGCAGAUCACGAGGUCAGGAGAUCGAGACCAUCCUGGCUAACAUGGUGAAACCCCAUCUGUACUAAAAAUACAAAAAA
ensembl:lncRNA novel transcript